rnacentral:rRNA from 1 species
CCUACGGGAGGCAGCAGUGAGGAAUAUUGGUCAAUGGACGAGAGUCUGAACCAGCCAAGUAGCGUGAAGGAUGACUGCCCUAUGGGUUGUAAACUUCUUUUAUAUGGGAAUAAAACGUUGCACGUGUGGGAUUUUGUAUGUACCAUAUGAAUAAGGAUCGGCUAACUCCGUGCCAGCAGCCGCGGUUAUACGGAGGAUCCGAGCGUGAUUCGGAUAUAUUGGGUUUAAAGGGGGCGUGGGUGGAUUGUUAGGUCAUUUGUGAAAGUUUGCGACUCAACCGUAAAAUUACAGUUGAAACUGGCAGGCUUGAGUACAGUAGAGGUGGGCGGAAUUCGUGGUGUAGCGGUGAAAUUCUUAGAUAUCACGAAGAACUCCGAUAGCGAAGGCAGUUCACUGGACUGCAACUGACACUGAGGCUCGAAAGUGUGGGUAUCAAACAGGAUUAGAUACCCGAGUAGUC